CGCAUCUGUGCAUGCAGCAUAUCAAUAAGCGGAGGAAAAGAAACUAACAAGGAUUCCCUUAGUAACGGCGAGUGAAGCGGGAAGAGCUCAAAUUUGAAAUCUUCAAGGUUUUACCUUGACGAAUUGUAGUUUAAAGAAGUGUUUUCUGUUGAAGUUUUGGUAAAAGUUCUUUGGAAUAGGACAUCAUAGAGGGUGAGAAUCCCGUAUUUGACCAUUAUUUUCAGCUGUGUGAUACACUUUCAAAGAGUCGGAUUGUUCGGGAAUGCAGUCCAAAAUGGGUGGUAAAUUUCAUCUAAAGCUAAAUAUUGGCGAGAGACCGAUAGCGAACAAGUACCGUGAGGGAAAGAUGAAAAGAACUUUGAAAAGAGAGUUAAACAGUACGUGAAAUUGUCAAAAGGGAAGCGUUUGACACCAGUGCUGUUUUUCUGAAAAUCAAUUAAAGAACUGUUUAUGCUAAGUUGUUUAGACUUUAUCAGCUAACUGUUUAGUUUUGAGCUUUUCUUUAAUGCACUUUUCAGUUAACAAGUCAACAUCAAUUCCUUUUGCUGUAAAAAAGCUUGAGGAAGGUGGCUUGAGAUUCGUCUUAAGUGUUUAUAGCCUCUUGCCUAUGCAGUCGGAGAGAUUGAGGUCUGCAGCGUAGAUCCUUCGGGGCUAAAUGCAUUUGUGCUAAGUUAUAGCUUUUUAUAGACAACUUGUUGACUAUGAUUAGUCUUGUAGCUUACUCGCUUAUGUUAUUUUACCUACGCUUAGGAUGUUGAUCUCUCACAGUCGAGC
rnacentral:rRNA from 1 species